ACUGUCCUUGUCUAUGGGAGCAUAGUAUUCAAUGAUCGUCUGGUGAGAGUGCUGAUGCUGAAACCCAUAUUUUAAAUAUGCCCGCAUCCAUGAGUUUUAUUUGAAACUCAUGUGUUGCAAUUUUUGGGGGG